UGGGGAAUAUUGCACAAUGGGCGCAAGCCUGAUGCAGCCAUGCCGCGUGUAUGAAGAAGGCCUUCGGGUUGUAAAGUACUUUCAGCGGGGAGGAAGGCGAUAAGGUUAAUAACCUUGUCGAUUGACGUUACCCGCAGAAGAAGCACCGGCUAACUCCGUGCCAGCAGCCGCGGUAAUACGGAGGGUGCAAUCGUUAAUCGGAAUUCCUGGGCGUAAAGCGCACGCAGGCGGUCUGUCAAGUCGGAUGUGAAAUCCCCGGGCUCAACCUGGGAACUGCAUUCGAAACUGGCAGGCUAGAGUCUUGUAGAGGGGGGUAGAAUUCCAGGUGUAGCGGUGAAAUGCGUAGAGAUCUGGAGGAAUACCGGUGGCGAAGGCGGCCCCCUGGACAAAGACUGACGCUCAGGUGCGAAAGCGUGGGGAGCAAACA
rnacentral:rRNA from 1 species